UGACCAUAUCACAUUGAAACACUGGCUCUCGUAUGACCACCAAAGUUAAGCAACAUUGAGUCUGGUUAGUACCUAGAUGGGUGACCAUUUUGGAAUACCAGGUGCUGUAA